GUAAUCUCAUCAUAUGGUUCCAUGGUUGUUGUCAUCGAUGGUCAUCAAAUUUGAAAUCCGCUUACCUGCGGAUAGAUUUCCGCCAUGAACUGGGUUUCAUUUGCUUGAGAUUUGAAUCUUCCGAUUGUUGAAGCCUUUGAAGCCGAUCCUUUUAAAUUUCCAGUUCCCAAGGUAUUAUCUGUUUGUAACAGCAGUGGUUCAGCAUCUACAGUGGAUUCAACAUCUACAGUGGAUUCAACAUCAGGUGUUUGCUAUUAUUGUUUGAUGUUGUUUGCUAUUGUUGUUUGAUGUUGUUUGCUAUUAUUGUUUGAUGUUGUUUGCUAUUGUUGUCAAGUAAGGUAAAAAUGGCCAUUCUAAUUACCUGAAUAUUGCGUAUGAUAUCCUUUUAAUUUUAA